GGGCCCGCACAAGCGGUGGAGUAUGUGGUUUAAUUCGAUGCAACGCGAAGAACCUUACCAGGGUUUGACAUCCUGCGAAUCUCUUGGAAACGAGAGAGUGCCUUCGGGAACGCAGUGACAGGUGGUGCAUGGCUGUCGUCAGCUCGUGUCGUGAGAUGUUGGGUUAAGUCCCGCAACGAGCGCAACCCACGUCUUUAGUUGCCAGCAUUUAGUUGGGCACUCUAGAGAGACCGCCGGUGAUAAACCGGAGGAAGGUGUGGAUGACGUCAAGUCAUCAUGCCCCUUACAUCCUGGGCUACACACGUGCUACAAUGGUAUCUACAACAGGAAGCAAGACGGCGACGUUAAGCAAAUCCUUAAAAGAUACCUCAGUUCGGAUUGCACUCUGCAACUCGAGUGCAUGAAGCUGGAAUUACUAGUAAUCGUGGAUC
rnacentral:rRNA from 1 species